rnacentral:misc_RNA from 1 species
GAAAUGCGAUAAGUAAUGUGAAUUGCAGAAUUCAGUGAAUCAUCGAAUCUUUGAACGCACAUUGCGCCCGCCAGUAUUCUGGCGGGCAUGCCUGUUCGAGCGUCAUUUCAACCAUCAAGCCCCCGGGCUUGUGUUGGGGACCUGCGGCUGCCGCAGGCCCCGAAAACCAGUGGCGGGCUCGCUGUCACACCGGGCGUAGUAGAUUUUUCGUCUCGCCCAGGGCGUGCUGCGGGUUCCGGCCGUUAAAAAGCCUCUCUUUUUAACCCAAGGUUGACCUCGGAUCAGGUAGGAAGACCCGCUGAACGUAA